AAAAAGUUUGUACGAAGAGUUUACGACCAAACUACACUUGGCAUUUUGAUUGAUAUGACAAAUUAAAGCCAUAUGGUUUGGCUAUCAGUGGUUGUAUUGAUGGCUAUUCGCGGAAGGUAUUAUGGUUGGUUUGCGGAGCAACUAACAGCAACCCAGCAGUCAUAGUUCAACACUACGUUCAGUGCGGUUCAGAGUUUGGAGUCAUACCAGUGCGACUUCGCACAGACUACGGCAUUGAAAAUGGCACGAUGGCAGCAAUGCAUUGUGCCUUAUGGUCAUCUCAUCAGGAUUUUUUUGCAGGAGCUGCCAGUCAUAUGUAUGGAUCUUCAACAACAAACCAAAGAAUUGAAAGCUGGUGGUCAUACUUCAGAAAACAGCGGAAGGUUUUAAAUUGUUGCCAGUAACAACUAUAUUAACCAGAUAAAAGUGUUUAACAUAUAGUCGGUGAUGCAGAAGCCUUGCUGUGUAUCACACCACCUUUCCUUUAUAGCUUCAAUGUGUAGCCAUUAUGUUACAUAGAAGCACAAGAUAGAAGAUAUAAACUAUAAUAGUCAAUAAAGAAAGUAAAAUGAAUAGAAAUCUCAUGGAAAAAAGAAACACUUGGAUAAAGUGCAUAUCAAAUGGUCAUUUGUGGUAUAAGAAAAUAUAACCUAACUAAAGUAUCCGAAAUGCACCCACUUUACAUCAACUCAAGAAACAAUUUCAUAAACUUAAGAAAUAGUAAGGCUUUGAAGGCUGGUGCUUUGUGAACUGACGGUAUGUUUUUAUGUCUUUUUUAGAACCCAGUUCUGGAUGGACCUUUUGAGUGACAUGAGGGAAAUGCACCUCUUUAAUGGUAGUCAUGAACACAUGUGCUUGGUGCGCUUCAUUUUCAUGGCUGUGCUUCAAAGGGAUAUGGAUGAAUGCAAAAGAAAGUGGAACACGCACCUGAUCCGCCCAGUUAAACCGGAUGUGAUGUAUUACCUGCCUCAUAGGUUUGCUGGAUGCGACUGUGGCCUUGCAGUUGGACAUCAACAGCUGAGCCAGUUCAGGAUGAGUUCAACUCCGGAUUUCUGUGGAGACCCUCACCUACAGGAAUAUUUUGAAGGACUAAACAGUGGCUUCAGUUCAUCACAGACCUGGGAAUCUCGUGUGGAGAACUACAUCAGACUAAAAACACUUGCUGGGUUGUAAUGCCAAGGUUCCCACACAUCCCAGAACUGUGGAGUCCACUUUGUUGUUAUCAGAAGGCAACACAUGCACUUUGGUUAAGGCUAAAAAAUAUGUGUUUUGCUUCAAGUAGAACACAUUUAUAGUUCAUCAGUUUAUAGUCACUUAAAAAAAUACCCUUUAUGUUUUUCCAAAUAAGAAUAUCAGUUGUGACUGUGAGAUCAAAUAAAUUAUUUCUGCUAACAGAUGAUAUUGUGAAGACUCUCUUAACCUCCACCUUAA
ensembl:lncRNA